GACGAACGCUGGCGGCGUGCUUAACACAUGCAAGUCGAACGAAAAGGCCCGGCGUUUGUUGGUUUCUCGUUUGGCGAACGGGGGUGUAACACAUGAGUAACCUGCCCUUGACUUUGGGGUAACUUCAGGAAACUGUGGCGAAUACCGGGUAUAAUCUCCUGCUGCAUAGUGUUGGUUAGAAAGUUUCGGCUGUUGUGUAUGGACUCGCUGCUUAUCAGCUUGUUGGUGUGGUAGUGGCUUACCAAGGUUUUGACGGGUAGCCGGCCUGAGCGGGUGACCGGCGAUCUUGGGACUGAGGUAAGGCAGAGAUUCCUACGGGAGGGAGCAGUGGGGAAGCCUGAAGAAUGGGCGGAAGGUUGAUGAAGCAAGGCCGCGUGUGGGAUGACGCUCUUAGGGUUGUAAAACGAUUUUGCAUGUGACGAAGCGUGAGUGACGGGAAUGGGUACAGAAGGCCCGGCCAAACACGUG
rnacentral:rRNA from 1 species